UCAUAUUUGCAUACAUAAGGUUGAGAAAUAAUAAAAAUAAAAAAAAUGGGAAAAUUAAAACCCAUUUUGUCCCUAUUCUGAAGAAUCACUGAUUUAACAAAUCUCAAUAUCUAUAACAUUUGAAUCUGGAGGAACCAUCUACGGUUGACACUCUGGCGUCGAAGUACCGGCGUUCCACCCUUCCACCCUUCUUAUGCUGCCGUAAAUGAGAUGAUCAGCCUCCGGUGUGAUGAUGACGUCAUCGAUGAAGCCACAGCCCGCCACCUCUCGGACUCCAUCUAGUAGGGAGAUAACUCAGCAACCCAAAGGAACAAACUAAAAUCCCAGAACCUAACAAUUUGUUUAAAAACAUUAAUACAAUUUCACAAGUGGAAAAAGAGCACCCCAGUGAGUAACUUCAGAUUUAUUUAUACUAGUUAAAUAUGGAAGAAAGAAACUAAAAAAAAAGUUUGGUCAUAUGAGAUAAGAGACAUAAUAACUCCAGCAAUGUCUUAAAAACAUCACUGGGAAAAAACAACAUAAAAACCCCCUCAGAGAAACAAAAACACCAACAAUGAUACACAUGUCGAGGAAGUAAAAUCUAAAGGGUCAAGAAGGUCCAGUGGAAAACCAAAAGCUGAACUGAAUCAUCUGCUCAGUCGUUUCCCUUCAGCCCUUGUGGUUGUGGAGUCGCAGGAUGUUCCUCCUUGGUUU